rnacentral:lncRNA from 1 species
UCUUUCUUUCUUUCUUUCUUUCUUUCUUUCUUUCUUUCUUUCUUUUUCCUCCCUCUCUCCCUACCUCCCUUCCUUCCUUCCUUCCCUUUCCUUUCCUUUCUCUUUCUUUCUUUCUUUCUUUCUUUUCUUUUUCUUUCUUUCUUAAAAUGGAGGUUUUGCUAAUUACCCAGGCUAGUUUUAAACUUGUAACCCUCCUGCCUUAGUCUCUGCAGUGGCUAGGAUUACAGAUGUACACCACUGUACAAGAUCUGACCCUAUUCUUUAUGGAGGACUAUAGUAUAAAAUGUCAAAAAUUCAAGAAUAUUAGAGUAGAUUAUGUGAAAUCAUGCACUUACAAUAAUAAUUUUCAUGCAAUAUUUUCCUCCUUGUCACGUUUUGGAGGAGGAAUAGAAGGUGAUGGUUUUAUUCCUUCUUUUUUUUUAAAUGGUAGCUUCUAGUGAAUUUCUCCCUGUUAAAAAUUAAAAUUGCUACCUUUUACUACUUUUAAUCUUCUUUCUCUAAUUUGCUUUGUUUUAUUGUAUUUAUUACCAUAUGACGCACACAUAUUCAUAGGUGUAUGAGUAAGUGUGAAAUGUGCCUUCCUGCCCUUAGUGGAAAGGACUGUGUUUUUAAUAUUUGCACAUCAUUUACUCCAUUGAUGAUGUAAAAUUGUAUUUCUAAAAUUACAAUGGUAUAGAGGGGUACUCAUAAAUAUUUCUUCAAUAAAUGAGUAUUUCUCAGUGAUUUGAGAUUCUGCUUUACCCACAUAGUUCUUCUGUGAUCCACCAUGUAGGAUUGAGAAGGGUUAGUUUAAUAGAUGAUGAAAUGUUCAUUGGAAUACAUUAUGAAGCAAAUUUUAGGGGUGCCUGUCUGUUGAAGGUGAGAAUUUGGUAAUUUCCCAGAAUCAGAUGAGGUCCCUGUAAAUAAAAACAGAGAAAAUAGCUACUAGAGUAGUCCUUAUGGAAGGAAUCAGCUCUUUAGACUCGAGUAGCAUUUGAUGAGCCAGAUCUACAUUGUUCUACAUCUUUAUUUUAAUUUAUUAAACUUUAACUUUAAAUUAUAUGGAAUCUAAAGGGUUUAAUUCAUAGAAGUAAAAAGUAGCAGAUUUUAUAAUUUCUUAAAGGCAUUUUAAGUGAUCAGCCAUUCCUGGUUAGAGUUUUCUCUAGUUUUCCUAAGAGGUCUAUUAUUGGUUGAGACAUUUUAAUAUUUAAUAGUUACUAAAGAUUUUAUAAAAUUAUAUCUUACUUUUCAACUGUCAGGUCUUUUGAAGGUAGGCACAUUUCCAGUGAGGGUACAUUGCUCCUUAUACAGUAGUGGUCAAUAAAUUUAUGCAAAUUGAUUUGAUAUUCUUCUGGGAAAAUAGGGACUUGAAUGAACACUUGAGGAGCAUCUAAAAAUAUAUCAAAGAUUCAAAACAAACACUAAUAUGCUCUAUCUAUGUUACUCUUACAUAUAUAUACAUUUGUACCUGCCUGAUAAGAAUAGAUGUUCAGAAAAUACCACCAAGGUCACUUAGAAAGCAAUCCAGACUGAGUUGAAAGGGUGAUAAAAUGGCUUAAUAAUUUUAAAUAGGCAGAGUUUGAUGAUUUCAGUGGUUUCCUUAAGAACAAUUUAUGCUAUGAUUGUUUUUCACUGAAAGUAGAAAAUAGUAAAACCAGCAAAGUUUCAUUUUAUUGCCACAUCUCUCAUUAUUUCAGCAAAAAAUCUAGGCCAAAUCUAAAUUUAAGGUAAUGUGUAAGUGAUUCUAACUUGUUCCAUGGUAAGUCUGUGACCUCUGGCUCUUACAGGCUAAAAAAUAUGAGACACAGGCUCUUUCAGCUCAAAGAAAGAAGCCAUGUCUCACUAAAGAGUCAGAGAGAUAUUCUGUUUAGUGCACACGAUUUUAGAUGAGAGUUUACCUCUCCUCUAUCUUGGUUUUCUGCCCUUAUUGAUUUUUUUUUGAAUACCAGAAAUGCUUUCAAACUUCUGCCAGAAAAUGAGUCUCUGUAGAGGAAGACAAAGCUAUUUUGAGGAGAAUAGAGGUGUUCAAUCAAGAUGAUAUCUCUCUGGCCAUGAAGCAUCUUUUAAAUUAGAUUCCUGUGCAUUUAGUCUUUAACACUUCACCUAAUUAUACUGUUUAUUUUUUUGUUUUUGUUUUGCUUUCUUCCAAGUAAUUUUCUUAAAUUUAAAAUAACACUAGAAAAGAUCUCAUUACAAAGUGUGAUGUUGUCUUUUGAGACAGUUCAGUUCUUAGAAAAUGCACAUCAGUCAGCAUACACAACUAACAAUUCUUAUUCAGUAGAAACGUUGACUUCUCUGAAAACAUUUACAUUCCCCCACUUCCUGACCUUCUGUUCUUUUCUUUAGGGAUCAAUACUUUGACCUUUCAUCUGUACAUAUGUCUCCAAAAUAUUUAUCAAUAUUAACUUUCUUCAGUGCUCCAGACACUUACAUAUAUAUGUGUGUGUGUGUGUAUAUAUAUAUAUUAUUCCUUAUUAUAAAUCUAAAUUAUAAAUCAUUGCUUUGAUUUCAUACAAGACCUGAAGUAAGCAUUGCUUCACUUUCACACUUUCACUUUCACUUCACUUUCACUUUCACUUCCUAAGCACUCUUAAUAAUAACACUGACGUGUGCUGUGGAUAAAGAUGAUGCCAAUGGGAGACAGAAAGUACACUGGAGCCAGCACACCGGUCAAUCUGGAGUGCAGAGCAAGAUGGAUGUUCUAGAAGAUGUUCAGCAUGGAUACUGAUCUGCAUUGGGAAUAAAUCCAUUCUCUUCACUUGACCAGGAAUUUGAUAAUAUACUUUUUCAAUGACAUCACUUGUAUUCUUCAGUUUUUAUUUGCUCCCAGUAAUUUGUGGUUUCAACCAUCACUUAUUUUGUCUCAUAGAAGAUGUUUUCUGUAAGGAAUGUCAAAAACUUAUAAGACAAUCGUUUUAGCUGAAUAAAACUUCUGAUAAGUGUCUGAAGAAUUGAUAUUCUUCAUUCCUCCUGCGUAAUAUCUCAGAACCAGAGUUUACACUCUCCAUGAUUUUUUAUUAAGGUAGAAAUAUACUUAAUGCUUCCUUAUGGAACUAGAUAUUUUAAUAGAGAAUAUUCUUAUACAGACAUAUUCAAUGGAUAGAAAAAAAUAAAAAUGCUCACCAUAUUUUAAUAUUAUUUCAAAAUCAAAUAAGAACAAUUAAUUUUCUGUGAAUGUGAGUGUACCUGCUGGGUAUCAAUAAGAUUUUGUAGAAAAGAUUGUACUCAGCAAGCCUAACAUUAAAUUCUGACUCCACCUGAAAUCCCAGGUCUACUACUUUUAAAAUUAGUUCGGAUAAGCCACUUAACCUUUUGAAUGCAAGCUUUAUUUAUUUUUUAUUUUUUAAUUUAAUUUAAUUUAUUUAUGUGUAAGCUUUAUUUUUUAAAGGACAAUAAUGCCUAUUCAAUACAUUUAUCUUAAAAGUUAGAGGUAAUUUGGUACAGUAACCUGAAUAUAAAAGAUACUCUAAUAAGAAUAGCUAAGAUUUUCUAAGGUUGUUUUUAUUAUACCAAAACACCUUUACAAUUAUUUUGAUGAAUAAUUCUUAAUGUCUUGCUACCAUAAGUUUUCACUGUCUAGUAUACAAUAUGUUAGCCAUUUUUCACUCAUUCACUUAUUCAACCAGCACUGACUGAACAGAGUUAUACAUAAGAAACUAUGCUAAGAAAUGGAUGAAAAAUAUUUAAAUUCUUUUCUUAUAAGAGUUCCACCUUUAAGUAGCGAGACAGGCAAGUAUAAUAAACAUUUGCAAGAAAAUGUAGCAAACAUUUUAACUCAGCUAUCUGAAGAGUUACAGUGCUAUUUACAUGAAUUGUUUUUUUUAGUGUUAUUUGAGUGUGUUCCUCUUUUUGAUUGGGCAGGGCUCCAUUUCAAGUCCUUACUUCUAGGUUUGAUGAAAUGCUUGCUAUCCUUUUUUAGGAUCCUUUUAUUCUGAGUCUUUAAAAAUUAGAAAUAUAAUUUUUUUCAUUAGUAAGUACUUUAAUUCACACAAAGACAAGGUCUAGGAGUGGAAGACACCGAUCAUCCAGACAAUUGUUGAAAGCUACAUUCAAACUGAUACAGUCAUCUGAUGCAUUCUUUUUCAAAGCAUUUUCACUGAAGCACAAUUCAAAUAGUUUGAUAAUUUUGAAAUAUGUUUAUAUCUAUACAUCUCUUAUAACAAUGACAAAAUAAACAUAUCUAUCAUCCUUUAAGUUUAGUUUUGUCAUUUUACAAUUUCUUCUGCCUGUCCCUUCCUGCCCCCUUUCAUCCCUAGGAAAUCACUGAUAUGUUUUCUGUCAAUUGUAGCUUAAUUUAUAGAAUUUUAUUUAAAUGGGAUCAACAAUGUAUACUCUUUUCAUUUUGUCUAACUUUUAAAGGUAGCUUAUUUUAAUUAUCUAUGUAUUUAUAUGUAUCAAUAAUUCAUUUGUUUUAAAAAAUGAUAUUCUAUUUUGUGACUAUAACACAAUUUGCUUGUUGAUUUUGAAUUUCUAGAUUUUGGUGACAAAGAUCCAGUCUUGGUAAGUACACAAUAAAUCUGUGGGUAGGAGCUUUUGUUUCUUUUGCAUCGACACCUUGGUGGAAGUGCAAUAAAAGGUAAUUAAAAUUAUAUAUUUGAUUUUUAAGAGGCUGCCAAAUUAUUUUCCAAAGUGGUUGAACAAUUUUUAAAUUGCACCAGCAGUGUGUGGGUGUUCCAUACAGUCCACAUUCUCAGUGAUUCCUAACACUGUCACUUUUUAACUAUUCAACAGGUAUUUAGUGUUAUCUCAAGUAGUUUUAUUGUGCAUUUCCCUAAUAAUUAAUUGCUUUGAGUUCAAGUGAUUGUAUAUCAUGUUUCUGAUUGGUUAGUCUUCCUAUCAAAGCAUAUUUUGACUGUUUUUUUUUUUUUAGGUUUAUGGCCUUUUUUACUUUUUAUAGUAUACAUUUUGUUAUUUUAUUCUAACACAUUCUCGUAUUAUAAAAGCAAUUUAGUGGGAGAAGCUUCCUUUUGAUAUUUGAAUGAUCUGAAUACAAUCAGAACUAUACCUUUAAAAAUAUCUCUGGGGCUGGGGAUUUAGCUCAUUGGCACCAUGCCUGCCUUGCAAGUGCAAGGUCCUGAGUUUGAUCUCCAGUACCGAAAAAUAAAUAAAUAAAUAAAUAAAUAAAUAUAAAAUAAAAUAAAAAUAUCUCUGGAUAACAACAACAACAAAAAGACAAAUAACAGAAAAAAUUGUCCUUUUUGAUGGGGGGGACAUUGAAGUCUACUUAAUUCAGUUUUCUUUUUAAAAGCAUCAUAAAAAACAAAAAGGUGCUUAAACCCUAAGGAAGAUGAAUAAAAAAUAUGUUUAAUAAACUACAAGUCUCCAUUACCAUUUUCUGUUGUUUUAAUGCAGGUUCUUCUUUGUUUCUACUCUUGCUCUUUUCACUGGUCCAUUGGCACCAUUUUCAUCAUGUUCUUUCUCACUAUCAAAUUUUGUUUUCUGGCCCUGAAACUACAUUUGCUUUAGCAGUCCCAGACUGGGCAGUUUUGUUUCCUUUUUCCUUUAAAUCUUCAACCUUUUGAUUUCCACUUGUUUGAGGAUUCUUGUUGAUCUAUAAGUUUUUUCAAAGCUUCUUUUUCCAACUCUCCUUCCAGUACUUCCCAUAUCACUUCUUUAUUUCUUAAUUGUUGACUGCCACUGUUUGCAUGUUUGGCUUUAUCCAGGGUUUCCUUGGCUUUUUCCUUAAAUAGAACCAUUCCCUCUUUUGCUUCUCUGACAAAGUAUAUACAUUAUAUUUCACCCUGAAAUGAGCAAAGGGUGUUCAAAUUUUCUCUACACAUUUGAACAUCAAAGUCACACAAAAAUUUAAGCAAGAAUCCAGUCUUUUCUUCUAGAGAUUUCAUUUUGGCAUCUUCUGCUAAUUUCUGUUUUCCUUCUUGCUAUUGUUUAGCUCUUAAUUUAGCUUCCACUUUAUUUUGCUUUCCUUCAUCAUUUUUCUUUGUAAAAUAAUCUUUCUUAGCAUGUAUUAGCAGGUCUGUGUCUUUAUACUUAUAACUUGCAGUUUCUACAAUCUUCUUAGCAGAUUCAUUGCUCUGAAACACAGCAAAUAUCCAUCCCUCAAAUGUUCUCAUCUGGAAUUUUAGUACUUGGCCUUUAUUUUCUACCUAUUCUUUAAUGUCAUUGAGGGUUAAAUCAGUUAUGAAACCUUUUAUAUAAAAAAUCUGAUUUUUGCAUCAUUUUUAUUCCCGUUGAUCACUUCAGGGAGGGUUUUGUUUGGAGAUCUUCAGGUUUUAGUUUUAUCUUCACUAAUUUUCAUGAGUUCUGCAUUAGAUUUGCUUCAUACUUCCAUUAUUACAUUAAAGCCUGUUAUUAGUUGGAUCAUCCUGUUGAAUUUUAUCAUUAUUUCCAAGAGUACCUAUCCUUAAUGCAAUUUUAUCUGUGCCUUUAAAAAUUUGUUCCAUGGCAAGUUGAAGUCUCCAAAACAAUACUCCAUUUGACAACAGAUUCUGACUUCCAGAGGAGCUAUUUUUUCAUUACAGUAUCACCAUUUUCAGCCAUUCGGGUAAUCUUUAAGCCUCUGGUCCCGUAUGCAUGCCACUGACAACAGAGAACUUCCCACUUCUCAGUGCUGCUGGCUUAAGCAAGUUGUAUGACUUUUAACUUAUUUUGUUUCACAAGUCUUUAUAUGUUCUUGAUAUACCUUUAUCAAAUUACUGCAUAUGAUUUGCAGUAUUUACUCCUAAUCAGUGGCUUGUAUGUGUGGUUUUUGAAAAUCAAAACUCUAAAUUUGGUGAAGUCUAUUUUUUCUUACGGAUUGUAUAUUUGUCUUAUAGAUAAGCUAUUGCCUACCCAGAAAAAUUUUUCCCUACAUUUUUCUUUAAAAGUUUUAUUGUUUUAACACUCACAUUUAGACCUAUGGUACAUUUUCAUUUAAGUUUUACCUGCAGAAUGGCCAGAAUUUCAAGUACUGUGCUGUAGCCACCAAACACAUUAACAUCACCUGUGUUAGAACAGGUUGAACAGAACUAAGGAUUAUUAGAAAUUGGAGGGAUAAGAAAAAUAUAUGACAAAGCCAUGAGAUAAAAAUUUUAAUAUGCUUAACUGAUGACAUAUGUGUGAACCUAAUGAUUAAGUGCAUAAAUUCAGGGUUGGUAAAGCAUAGCUUAACAGUGAAACCAAUGUGAACAAAAUAAAUCAAUAACUUUAGAGAUAUUAAGGGUAGGAAUAACAAAUCAUUUUAUGAAACAGAAAUGCCAUUUGGCCAAGAAUAGAAUAGUACUCAAGUCUGUUCUCAUCCGCUUGUCCACUUUUUUCUUCAUGAACUUUAAUUGUCAUUCAUUCCCUUUGGAUCCACAGGUUUUCUCUAACAUGAAGUGCUUAUUCUUCAAACUGUGUACAUUGAAAUAUGUGGACUGAAGCUAUUCUCUUCUAACUCAAGUUACUAAUAAUUCAAGUUUAAAUCUUACACCCUGGUUGAGUCUUAGUCACUCUGCCUUCAAGAAGUUUCUCUUCUUCUGGCAGAGUAAGAAGAUACUUCUCUGUCUAUCACUUUGAUCACACCUCUGUCACAGCAUUGAUUGUACAUAAGUAUUCAGCUUUCCCACAUCAUAUUCAAUUUUGAAACCUCUUCAGGUGAAGAGAUAUAGCUAGAUACAGCUCUUUAAAAUGGGAUGGCUGACCACAGCUUAUUUAGAGAGGAAAAGCUUCUCAUUUAAUAGAUAAUUGAAUGAAUUAAGAGACUUUGUAGGAGACUUAAUCUCAAAUUUAAGAUUGAAGGAAAUACGUUAUCUGGAGGACUUUGAGGAGAUAGGAUCAGAUUUUAUAUAUCCAGAGCAUAAUAUUAAAAUCAUUAGAUAAAUAUGAGGUUUUCAGAUAUUUUUAGUACCAGAGAUUGAACCAAUACUAAAUUGUACAUGCUAAGCAAGUACUCUUACACAAAGACAUCUUUAUUCUUUUUUAAUUUUUUGAAAACAGCAUAAUAAUAAAUUGCCUAGGCUGGUCUCAAAUUUGUAGUAUUCCUGUCUCAGCCUCCCAAGUAGCUGAGAAUACAGGUGUAUGCUAUCAAGCCCAGGAAGAAUGAUCUAUUUUAAGAGAUAAUUCCUAUCAGCAGGGUUUGUUAAAUAUGUGUUCUGUAUCUAGUUGGCAGGAAUGUUACAAAGUCAAAAAGUUGGAUGAGUUGGGAGAAAAGUUUAAUUAUAAAAACCGUUGUGACAUUUACGCUUACUUGUCAUCUGGGUUAAGAGAGUCUGGAGAAGUGAUUUGAUCAUGGGGGUUCUAUAUUAAUCAAUGGCAUAAUCCACUGAUAUUCAUAAUAGAAUGUACUGUUAAGUGAGUACAGUCCGGUUGGAGAUGAAUCACUGGGGGAAUGCCUUUGGAGGGUAUGUCUUUUUCUGAAACCUCCCCCCUCGGACUUCCUUCCCAACUUUCAAGAAUUAAGCAGUUUUUCUUCCCCACACCAAUUUGCCAUUAUGUUUCUGCCUUGGAGCCAGCUAGCCUUGGACUGAUCACUUUGAAAGUGCAGGUGUCUGCUAUGUUGUCCUAUCAACAAGAAAGCUGACCAAGACAAUAAAUGGUUACUGAGAAGUGAUGUUGUUGCUGUGACUAUAUCUGACUGUGCUGUUUUGAAGGAGGUGUUCAGAAAGGUUUGAAGAUGUGAACUAGAGAAGCCCUAAAAUGUUGUAAGCAGAACUCUGGCUAAUUCUGGACAAUUCUCAGAAAACCAGAAUGCUGCUAGCAAUGUAAAGAAUUUAGGCAAGGCUCAAGAGGUUUCAGUUGGGAAUGAGGACCCUAUUGGGGAUUGGACUAGAGACCAUGUGUACUAUAUUAUAACAACAAUUUUCCUACUCUGAGGCCGAAUUUAAAGAUUUUGGUCUAAUCUGAAAAGGAAACUUCACAGCAGCCUAACAUUUAGGCUGUUUCAUGGGUACUGCUGGCCACUUUUAGCCAGGUUUAUAAGGAAAAUCAAGGACAAAAAGCAGAGCAGAAAGAUUUGAAACAGUUAAAAAUUAUGACUCCUAAGAGGAUCACAAGUAAAGUGGGAAUAAAGGAGAUGUAGUUGCUAAAGAGAUUAGUGUCCUUAAAAACAACCAAGUACUUUGAAUAAGUAUAGGAAGAAAGAUUCCUUGUAUUUUAAGAUCAACAAAAUCUCAUUCAUCGCAGAAGAGAGCUCUUGGGCCCUUGACUUAAAAGCCUGCUAUAAAAUUGGUUCCCUGCAUCUUAUUUCACCAUGUUCAGCCAUCUCUUGGCACUGAGAGGUCACUGCAUUCAUGGUCCAAGGAGGCCGGACUACUUCUUGAACUGGCAGCAAACUUUGGCAUUUUUCAGAUGAUCCUGGUUGUUGAGGCAUGCAAGAUACAAAAGUUGUGGGUCAUAGAGCCUUUGACUCAUAUUUCAAAGGAAGACUUGGGAAGCCAAGCAGUAAGUCCCUCAGAGGAGAAUGGAUGAAGGUGUUAGAAUGAAGCAGAAGGUGGAGAGGAUUACCAAGGGAUUUAGAGAUUCCAGGAAUACUGACCAUCUACCAAGGAAAGCUGCAGGAAGUUAGGAAAGCCAGCCUAAGAGAGUGAGUGUGUGAGCUUUAGCCAUCAAUGCCAUGGGGGUGAGGUUGUCCAAACCUUCUGGAACUCCUAUCUUAUUAACAUGUACAAUGGACACUGAAAAUGGAACUAUAAGACUUACUGUUAACACUGCUAAGUUUUGGUCUUGCUUUGAUCUGAUUCUUGUCUAUCACCCUAUUCUUCCCUUUUGGAAACUGAAUGUUUAUCCUGUGUUAUUGUAUCUUGGGAACAUGUAACUUCUUUAUGAUUUUUACAGGGGUUUAUAAUUAAGAGUUUGCCUUUAGUCUCGCAGAGGAUUUUGACACGGACUACUGAGUUAUGUUGGAACUUUUGACUUUGGGGAAAAGACUAGUGUAUUUUGUUUGUUUUCAGGAUAGUUAACAUCAUGUUAUGACCUUGUUGUUAUUGUUUUUUUACAUUAAAUAUGCUUUAAGGACAUGUGCUUGGGUGUCAAAUUGACAAUGGGUGAAACAUAGUGAUUAAGUUUUAUUGUCAACUUGACUGGCUCAAGAGAUGCCUGGAGAGGUGAUUAGAUCAUGGGGAUGAUAUAUUCAUCAGUGAAUUAGUACAAUGGUACUCAUACUUGAAUAUACUGUACAGAAGUGGGGCUCAGUCAGAGAUGGGUAUGUCUCUUGCUGGCAUUCUUAUCCUGUGGUUGGCUUACUGGCCUCCAUGAACUGAGUAUCUUUUUUCUGUCAUGCUCUUUUGCCAUGAAAUAUCUGUGUUAGAACCGGCCAAUUAUAAACUGAACCUCAGAUAUGUCUGAAACCUGAAACCCAAGUCCAAAUAAACAUCCUUUCCUUUAAGUUGCAGGUGUCUGAUGUUUGUUUUGUUUAUCAGCGUUGGGAAAACUGACACAUAGGAUUAUUUAAAUUUGGCACCCAGAAAUCUUUAUUUCUUCAGACAUUGUCUAAGACUUUCAGAUAUUUCACAAAUGCCUCUUCCUUUUCAUUCUGCUUCAUACCAUUCCAUUAUAUUAUAAUAUUUGAUUUGACUGCCAUUACUGCCCUUUGAAAGGGGCCUGUAUAUCAAUAAAUGCAGUUUAGUUCUAAAUUAGCAAUUUAAAUAUAAUUUAUAACUUUUAAAACUUAUUUUUUAAAACAGAAAGAUAGUGGAAGACUCCUACCUUAACUUUAUACUUGCUCAAAUCUUUCUGUGAAAACCUUUUACUUAUAGAAUUAUAGAUGAUGCCUAAAAGUUAUUGAACAUGUACCAGCUUGUUUCCACCAUACACUAUUUUCUUUCUUAUUUAAUCUUCACUGCUAUCCUAUGAAGUAUUAGAAUUACUCUUAUUUUCUGGGGAAAUUAGCUCAAUAUUAUUUAAUUGGAAAGUAGUCAAAGUGAUAUUCAACCCAUGUCUGAUUCUAAAAUCAAACUGUUAAACAUGACACUAUUUUUACUUUCUCUCUAAACAGCUUAUUAUGACUCUUGAAAACUGCAUUAUGCUCAAUGUUUGCCAACCUCCAUUUCUUAUUGACAAUUGCUGUACAGAAAUUUAUUUUAGAUAAAUUGGUCUAUGGAUUAUCCCUCAAAUACUUUUAAUGUAUUCUUCAUUUAACAGGGCAACUUUCUUCACUUUUCUGAACUUUAGCUUAGGUUAUAUAAAAUGAAUAUAAUACUACCGCAUGGUGUGGUGGCACAUGCCUAUAAUCCUAGCUCUUGGGAGGCUGAGGGAGGAGGAUUGCUGAGUUCAAUGCCAAACUGAACUAUAUAGCAAGACCCUACCUCAAAACAAAAUACUGCUUAUUUAAUAGGGCAUUUGUGAGGAUUAGAUAGAACACUUGCAUAAAGUCAUUACAUAGUUCAAGAAUAUAGUAAAUUUUCAAUAAAUAUUCACUGCUAUCAUUCUCAUAGUCAUUAUUAUUAUACUUACAAUUAAAUUGAAUGCAUAUAAAUAUAAAAGUAUACCAUGCAAGUUUACAUUUAAACCUGGUAACUAUUAUGAAUACAUUGUAAUCCUUUUGUGAAGGGAUCUCUACUUGUGGAUUUACUGAAUUUUGCUAGUCUAUUUUGAAGAAGUGCCUUGUAAGAAAAACUUUUUGAGGGGCACUUACUAAAAUUAGUCUACUUUAGAAUAUUACCUUAUUAUUUGUUGAUUAAUGUAGUAUUAGCUAUAUUUGCAGUAGAUUUGUAAUAUUAUGUGUUGAAUUUUAACCAAUAACUUUAUUUUGAGAUAAGUUGGUCAUUUUUCCAUUUAGUGUUAAGGUAUCUUUAGACAAAAUUGGUGAAUCUUAAUAUUGUGAAAAUAAAUGAUAAAAUUCUAGAAAAAUAGAAAAAGUAUUUAGUAAGACCAUAUUCUGAAUUAGGGAAUAUGAGACAAUUGUCUUCUUUUUUUUAAAUAGUGAUUUAUAUUAGGAAAUUUAUAUCUGGAGUAAAAUGAAACAGGAAAUUAUAAUUUUAAUAGAAGCUUGUAUAUUUAUAUUUUCAUAUUUUCUCCAGUAUGAAGCUUAAAACAUGAAGCAUUUACUUACAAAUUGCAGGAAACAUAAAAAUAUAUCAUGUAGUUAGAGAAUGUAAUGAAGAUGAUAUUGAGAUAAAAUUGGCUGGAGAUAUAAGUAGGAAGGAUGAAAAGCAGAAAGAUUCAGACCUCAGUGCAAUCAGAAGACUGUCAAACUUCACUGAUAUCUCAAUGCAGUUUGUAGAUUGAUGGAUGCUGCUAAUAAUAUAUCAAUGGAAAUGUCUGUGGCAAUGCUGGAUAUGUUUUUAUCAGUGUGAGAAAGGAUGUCUGUUAAGAUUGAUGUAAAUGUUUUGCAGGCUGCUCUCAUUGUUCCUAAAUGCUUUUGAUCAUCACUUCCAGGGUCUAUGCCUCAUUCUCUCUGUGACUUUGAUUUUCAGAUGGUUUAUAAACAUGAUUUACCUGCUCUUCUUCACUUUUUUAUGCCUUAUUGUUUCAGGUUAUAUUAUGGGUGCUGUGUGAGUGUGUAUGAUGAACAUGUAUGUUCAAGGACAAAAGGCAUGCAUAUGUAUUAUUUUCCUGCUCUUAUUGGAAUCAUCUGCAACUUUCUGUUUUCAUUUUGUCUUUUUUAAGACAUAUGAAAAAUAUUUUACUACCAACAACAAAUAAAUUAUUAGGUCAUAUGGUGGAAAAGAUCAUCUCUAAUAACUAUGUGUCAUAUAAUAUCAAGACUAAAAUAUGCUCAGCUGAAUAGAAACAAAGAAAACAAUAUCUAUCUUUUAAGUUUUGUUUUCAGUAAGUCAGACUUUUUCACAAUAAAAGCUUCCUAAAUUGGAGGAGAUCUUUAUUUAAAAUAAUACUAGAUACUAUCAAAACUCUUUCAGCAAUCUGAGUAUGUAUGCAUAAGAUUUCCUGAAUUUAUAAAUCUACCUUUGGUGGAAAGAAGCAGUUCUAAGAAACAUGUAUCAUGUUAAGCUAUUUCCAUCUGGGCCGAGAGUACAAUCUUCCUAUGAGAACUGUUUCUAUGGAUGAAAUGAACUAUGUUUUACCCUUUGUAGCUAAGUGAUGUGCACAUGACAUAACAUAUUUUAGAUAAAAAAUGUUUUUGAAUUUGAUGAAUUAAAAUAUAAAAAGUAGAUUUCUACCUGUUUUUCUAAUGAAACAGAGUAUUUUCUUCCUUCCUAGAAUGGACUGAGCACUUCUGUUGCAGAUGUAAUACAGAUAUAUCACAUUUGCAUUGGAUAUGUAAUAUAUAUAUGAAACAUACAUAUUAUAUAUAUGAAACAUAUAUAUGCAUAAGGCAUAUGUAUUUUUCAGUGAGAAAUGUUUUAUUUAAAGUAAAUGGUGGUUAAAAGAAUGAACAAGUAUUUUAGUAUUUCCAAUAAAUUGGCUUAUGCAUUAGAGCAAAUAUUAAAAUAAUGGAAGAUAAAUUACGUUUAAAAAAUUUUAAAUUUUAAUCUGCAGCUUUUACUUAAUUCCCCAUUGGGUUCAGUACUGUCCAGUGUAUAAUGCUGAAAAUAUUCUUCAAGUAAAAUUAAAAUUCAUAUAAAUCACAUAUUAAUUGUUUUCCACAAGACAAUUGGUUUAACUCCAGUUUUAUCAAAGUAAAUUAAAAGUAUUAAAUUUGGGAAAAUGUAAACAAGAUAUAGUAAAACUGUCCAAAUUAUGAGAUAGAGCAUAGAAGCCCGAAGUAAGGAUUAAUAAUGAAUAACUGAUACUUUGAAAUAGGAAAAGGUCCAAAAGGGUAGGGGUAGUGGGAGGAGAUGGGGAGAGGGAAGAAUGGAAAGGAAAAAUUAUGAGAAAAGAAAAAAAAUGGAAACAAAGUCUAUGUAAAUAGGGAAGGGUGGAGGGGUGAAGGGCACACAGGUAAUGGGGAAAAAAUAAGAACCAAGAUACAUCAGGUAUAGGUACAAGCACCCAAUGAUAAAUGUAAACAUAUUGUAUACCUAAAAUGUACCAAUAAAAGAAUUUAAGCAAAAUAAGCCAAUAAAAUCCUUUAACCUCCUUCAAAAAAAAAAAACAAAGUUGAAUACUUCAGGAAUAUUUUUUACAUGGUAGUUGGAAAAAUUAAUUUGCAAAAUUUAAGAAAUAUUAACUCAUUUUUAACCACAAAUAUCUUGUCAAUACUACAUUUAUGCUGUGUUUACUAAGCUGCAAUCUGCCAUUUAGCUGAGAGGCACAUUUGGAAAUAGUGAAUUUCAAGAUAGAACAUUACUAAUUGCACUUAUAAUUCCAGUAAUGCCAUGUUGAUUUCUCAUUUACUGAAAGCAAGCAUAGAAAGUAAAAUACAACAUUUAAAUCAUUAGUCACUUUGUGCCUUUAUCCUUUUCCUUUUAAUUAAAUGACAAAGUUUUUGUAGUUCAGUUUUGCUGGUGACACAUUUACUCAGAUUUUGCUGUUUAGAAAAAAAAUUAUUUGCCUUAAUUUGUGAAGAAUAUUUAUGCUGGAUAAAAAUUCUAGAUUUGUCAUUUUCCUCAGCACAUUAAUAAUAUAAUUCCAAUAUUUUUGGCUUGCUUGUUUCUCAUGAGAUGUGCAUUGAUCAUUAUUAUUUUUCCCCACUGCACACAAUGUAGCUUUUUUGGGCUGCUUUCCAGAUUUCCUUUCUACCACUGGUUUUCACCAAUUUGAGUAUGAAAAGCUCUCAUGGUUCAUUGUUUUUUGUAGAUCUGUUGAUUUAUAGUUUUUAUUAACUUAGGAAAGUUUAAGUCAGUAUUUCUUCAAACUUUUUUUCUGAAUGUCUCCCUACUUACAAAUAUGAGCCUAUAUAGUAUAGAAUGGAGUCUAUUUCUACUGAAAGACUGUAAAUAUCUUUGCCUCUUUAAUUUCUUUAUAGCAUUUAUUUAGUAAUGAAUUAAUUAAUAAUUCAAAAAUGAAUCAUACAUGAAAUUAUCUGAUGUGUUACUUAUGUGUCCAGUCAUUUUUUUCAAAAGUUUUUAUUCUUCUUAAUUAAUGAAGACUACAAAUCUGAGUCUUACCCACAUUAUGAAGAAAUGUGUGAACAAUUAUUUUUCUUAAAGUAAAUUUACUACUUAUUGAAUAACUUUUAAAUAUUUAUUAUCUUGAACUUUAGGUUAAAUCAUUUCAUUCAUAAAAUGUCAUCUUUUUGAAUGUUGAGAGAGCUUUUGAGCUCUCUAUAUUGUCAUCAAUAAAUGGAGUAAUAAUAACGGUACAAUUCUCCCUAAGAAUUACUGCUGCUCAUCUCGCACAACAAAAGGGCAAACCAGGAAAGCAUACCAUCACCAUACAGAUUAAAGGCAGGGAAAGGAUCAAUCAUGAGAGCUCAUUGGUGUCGUGGAGCAAAGAUGUGACUCUUGGAGAAUAUGGCCUUAGAGACCUCCGAAGAAUUGUCUGACUUAGCUCCUGGAGGUGAUGGAAUGACUGGUUGGUGUUCCAGAGGGGAUGGGAGAAUGAAUAGGGUAAAGGGUACCUGCUUCUGAUGCUGAUGAAUACAUGUGAUGACACAUGGUUAUAUAUCUGAUCCAUGAGCCCUUACAAGCAUCUCAAGAACUAGGAUCCAUUGUGGACUUUCAUCAGCCUAGAGACUACUGAACACAUCCCGUGUCCAACAUGAAUGAGAGUCACAAUGAAUCAGCAUAUAUGUACCAUUUGGGCCAUCCAAUCUCAUACAAAAUGGGAAAAAUAUUAUGCCAGAUAUCAGAUAUAAGUUCACUAACUUUUUCAACAGAAACAUGCAGUAUUCUGACAAUUUUAUAAAUUUGAGUGCCAGAAAUUCUUUGGGAUAGUCAAUUGAUCCUAGAAUGGGAAAAUUCUGAGAGCAAUGAAGGAAGAAAGUGGGGUUGAGCCCCUUGCAAAUUCUGGUUAUGGACCAUAGACAUUCCCUUAUAUGUCACUGUUAGCCUUAGCUGUUGCCAGGCAAUAGAAGGAGACUUCUUUUGGGAAGGAAAAUAUAGAGGUCUAAGUCAAAGGGCCACAAUCACCACUCCCUGUCUAGAUCCAAGUAUAGUACUGCCUUUACUCUAGAGCAGGGUUUCUAACCUCAGCAUUAUUGAUAUCUUUAGCUGAACAAAUCUUUGCCUUAGGGGACUGCCUUCCACAUUAUAAGAUAUUUGUCAUUGUCUGUGGCCCCUGGUCCCUUCUUGGUAGACAUCUGUAGUACCCUUCUCAUAACCCUCCAGCUGUGACAACCUAAAUGUCUCAAGACAUAACCAAUGGUUUUUCUAGAGGACUGAAAGCAUCACUGGCUGAGAAGCCCUAUUUUAAGUUUAACUUAAUUCUUCCAGUAAUGUAUGAGUUUUUUUGUUUGUUUCCACUGAAUCUUCUGUGUAUUAACAGUUCUUUCUGUUUUACAGGGUCUAGAAUGUCACUGUCAUUGAGCUUUAUGUGAGCCCUGGAAAUUGCUUUUGAUGGCUUUGAAGAAGUGAUGUGACAAAACUUCCACAGUUGCAAGGAAAUGACUUCUGUCAACAAGUAUUGUAGAAAUCCACCUCAACCUGACUGUAUCCAUCAUAACUACCAUGCUUGGCCCUGAGUAACCUUGGUAUUUGGAAAGGUUUGGAGAUUUGGAAUACCGAAGCCCUAGUAUCCUGUGAGAAGAACUUUAUGUCUGAUUUUCACUAAAGAUGAGGACAUAAUGCUGAUAGGAAUAUAAAUGGUAAAAAGUAGACUGAAGAUGCUUCAUGUGUGAACAAGGGCUCUCUUUGGAAUUGAGCUAGAGGCUACUUGUGUUCCAUUCUAGCAAAGAACCUGUCAGCAUUUUCAUCCAUGUACUAAAACUUUGUAUAAAGCUGAAUUUAAAAGUUGCAUGUAAGUUUAUAUUGUGGAGAAAAUUUGAAUGUUCAGUCCAAUGUUCAGGUUGUGGAAUAGAUACUGUUGGCUACUUUGUUCUAAAUUUAUAGUGAGAGAUCAUACCAAAAAAGCAGAGCGAGAAGAUUUGAAAAACUUGGAGUUUAUUCAGAAAAGAAACAUGCAUAAAUUUGGAGCCUAAGAAAGUGUCUUUGAUGAAGAGACUAGCUUCAUUGGAAAGAAGCAAAGUAUAUGGAACUGGUUCAACAAGAAAGAUGCCAUGAGGGCAUCUCAAAAAUCAGCAAGACUCCACAGACUGUAUGCUACAACAUACAAAAGUAUAUACCUUUGAUUUGUGAAGAGAACACCUAGAUCCCUAGCUUUAGAAGGGUUUAUUAGAAAAUUGGUUCCCCAGGAUUCAUUUCACUGUGCUUAAUUGCCCAGGCACUCAGAAGCCACUCUGGCUAUAGGGGGCAGGCUAAAACUUGUAAAGGCAACAGAUUUUGCCAUUGUUCAUGUGAUGCUGUUUAUUCAUACAUGCAGAAUGCAGAAGUAUGGUGUCAGGGAGGCCACUAUUUAAAUUUAAAAAGAAGGUUUUAGAAGCCAGGCAGUGUGCUCCUGAGAGGGUAGUCCAUGAUGGUGAGGUUCUGAGGCUAAAGCUUUAAUGGAUACCACGGGAUGUAUGAGACCUCAGAACAUAGAAUGUCUGUUGAAGUAAGCCACAUGUGGCCCAAGAGAGAGGCCAGGGUCUGCAACUGGUAAAUACAGCCACAUCAUUGACUGUGUGGCUAUCCAAGCUCUCUGGAAUUUAUUUCUUAUUACUAUGUGCUCUGGAUGCUGGACAUGAAACUUCAAGUUUUAAAAUUUGUCCUCCUGGUUUUUAGCCUUGUUUUGGUCUUCUUUUUCCCCUCUAUUCCUCAAUUUUGGAAUGGGAAUAUUUUCUCUGUGUCAUAGUAUCCUGGUACAAUGGAACUUACUUUUUGAUUGUUUCACAGACUCACAGCUAAGAGUUUGCAUUGACUCUCAGAGGAGACUUAGACUUUUGAGAAAUAGUAGAACUGUUGAGAAUUUGAGGAAGAAAUUAUUGUCUUUUGCUUGUGCUUAGGAUAAGUACAUCCUUAGGAUAAGUAUUGAUGGAAUUAGUAACUGGCCAAUUUUUUUUUUAUUUGGAGAUUAAGUAUGAUUUAUGGACUGUGUUUAGGUGUCAAGUUGACAAGGGAUAGAAUGUGGUAUUCAGUCUUGAUGGUUAACUUGAUUGGCUUGACAAUUGUCCAGUGGAUCAGUAGGGUGUGUGUAGGUGAGUCAUGGAAGCGUGACAUAGAAUUGUGGUCCAAAAUUGCAUACAUUUUCCUAUAAAUGACUCAAAUUUAUCCUUCUUUAUGGAUGAGUUGUACUCUAUUGUAUAUGUAUACCACAUUUUCUUUAUCAUCUGUUGAUGAACAUACA